UUUCGCAAUGCCCGAAAGGGUGACGAAGCGACGCCGCGUGCGGGAAGAAGGCCUUCGGGUUGUAAACCGCUGUCGGGAGUUAAGAAAUGUAAGGAUGUUAAUAGCAUCUUUACUUGACUAAGGCUCCGGAGGAAGCCACGGCUAACUCUGUGCCAGCAGCCGCGGUAAUACAGAGGCGGCAAGCGUUGUUCGGAAUUAUUGGGCGUAAAGAGCACGUAGGCGGCUAUGUAAGUCGGUUGUGAAAGCCUCCGCUCAACGGGAGAACAGCAUCCGAUACUGCAUGGCUUGAGUGCGGGAGGGGAGAGUGGAACUUCUGGUGGAGCGGUGAAAUGCGUAGAUAUCAGAAGGAACGCCGGCGGCGAAAGCGGCUCUCUGGCCCAUAACUGACGCUGAGUGUGCGAAAGCUAGGGGAGCAAACGGGAUUAGAUACCCCGGUAGUCCUAGCCGUAAACGAUGGGCACUAAGUAGAGGGGUUUUAAUCUC
rnacentral:rRNA from 1 species